GGCGUCGUGGCUUAGUUGGUUAAAGCGCCUGUCUAGUAAACAGGAGAUCGUGGGUUCGAAUCCCACCGAUGUCU
rnacentral:tRNA from 1 species